rnacentral:sRNA from 1 species
AAGACUGUGGCUUGGCCUGUGGUGGUCACUGUUGGGAGCCUGUCUGGCUGCAGGACUACUCCCCACCUGGGCCCUGGACUGUGGGAAGUGACCCCUGCGGGCAUUUUGCCCAGUGGCCAUCCUGGCUGUCCUUUUCCCCACCAUGCCCUCCUCAGAGGCGUCUCCCUGGCUUCGCUGCCUGGCGCUGCUUGCCACACCUCCUUGCAGGCCUCCAUGAAGAGUGAGUGAGCGCCCGCUGCUCCAGAUCCCCUCUGUGCUGGCCCCAGGCCGGCCUUGAGUCGGUCUCUUGCUGCCUGCAGGGUGCACCUGUCCACCUCCCCUCGAGGUAUCCCAGUGUCUGGAGAACAGGGGCCGAAUGUCUUUUCCAUCCUCUGAGAGCUAAGCAUAAUGCCACCGUGUCUUCAGUAGGGUGUUAAUAACUGAGGAAGGUAAUUUAGAAGAAUUCACCUGGUGCUUCUCAUAAAGAGUUGGUCUCUGGGAAAAUUCUAGAGUCAAGUGGUCUGGAGUAUAUGCCUUUAGACUCAACAGUGUAUCUCAUGAUAUUUUUAAGUUCUGUUUUCAGAUAUUGUGAUAACCUACAACUUUCUGUUAAACAUUAGUCAUUCUGAUGAGUAAAAAGUUCAGAGUGGUUGUUGGGUAGGGAGAGAGAAGGCAACAAGGGUCUUCAGUGGGAUUGGGAAGGUAUUAUUUCUUGAGCAGGUUGUGGUAAAAGGUAUUUGUUUUCAUCGUUUUUAAUAACUUUUGUGUAUGUUUUGAUAUUUAGUAUUUGAUCAAACUCCAAGCGACUGGAUUCAUGGCCAUCGUGAGCUUGCACUUUGCAGCAGGAGAGCUGACUGCAUCUGUGACGGCUCGGACGGCCUGGGACGGUCGUUUCUUUUCUGAGACAGGGUCGUUCUCUGUCACCCAGGCUGGAGCACAGUGGCGCGAUCACGGCUCACUGCAGCUUCAACCUCCUGCCUCAGCCUCCCAAGUAGCUGGGACCACAGGCGUGCACCGUUGUGCCCAGGUCUAAGUGUUUCGAUUUAGAAAUGGUUUCCUCUUAUCUCAGGUGGGAACCACUCCUGCUCCUCACUGAAGUGACCUCAGCGAAUGAAGUGUGGGUGACCUCGAACGGCACAGCGUUAGUCUUUGUCUCUGAUAACGUCAGGGAAGAAUUGGAGGAAGUGCAGGAUCUUCUGUGCAGGACGCUGCCCCUCCCCGUCCAGCUGAGCUUUCCUGAGGAAGCUCUGGAUGUCGCCCGUGUCUGUUGCUCAUGUGUUCGUUUCUCCCUUUUGCUUCUCUGCCGGCUCAGAGGAGAGGAGACGCCGUGAGCGGGACGACCAGAUGUACCGAGAGCGGCUGCGCACCUUGCUGGUCAUCGCGGUUGUCAUGAGCCUCCUGAAUGCUCUCAGCACCAGCGGAGGCAGCAUUUCCUGGAACGACUUUGUCCACGAGAUGCUGGCCAAGGGCGAGGUGCAGCGCGUCCAGGUGGUGCCUGAGAGCGACGUGGUGGAAGUCUACCUGCACCCUGGAGCCGUGGUGUUUGGGCGGCCUCGACUAGCCUUGAUGUACCGAAUGCAGGUUGCAAAUAUUGACAAGUUUGAAGAGAAGCUUCGAGCAG